rnacentral:rRNA from 1 species
UACGUAGGGCGCAAGCGUUGUCCGGAAUUAUUGGGCGUAAAGAGCUCGUAGGCGGUUUGUCGCGUCUGCUGUGAAAACCUAAGGCUCAACCUUGGGCUUGCAGUGGGUACGGGCAGACUAGAGUGCGGUAGGGGAGAUUGGAAUUCCUGGUGUAGCGGUGGAAUGCGCAGAUAUCAGGAGGAACACCGAUGGCGAAGGCAGAUCUCUGGGCCGUAACUGACGCUGAGGAGCGAAAGCAUGGGGAGCGAACAGG